UACGAAGGGUGCAAGCGUUACUCGGAAUUACUGGGCGUAAAGCGUGCGUAGGUGGUUUGUUAAGUCAGAUGUGAAAGCCCUAGGCUUAACCUAGGAGGUGCAUUUGAUACUGUGGAACUAGAGAUCGAGAGAGGAAAGUGGAAUUACGAGUGUAGAGGUGAAAUUCGUAGAUAUUCGUAAGAACACCAGUGGCGAAGGCGACUUUCUGGCUCGAUACUGACGCUAAGGCGCGAAAGCGUGGGGAGCAAACAGG
rnacentral:rRNA from 1 species